rnacentral:rRNA from 1 species
GAUGAACGCUGGCGGCGUGCCUAAUACAUGCAAGUCGAGCGAACGGACGAGAAGCUUGCUUCUCUGAUGUUAGCGGCGGACGGGUGAGUAACACGUGGAUAACCUACCUAUAAGACUGGGAUAACUUCGGGAAACCGGAGCUAAUACCGGAUAAUAUUUUGAACCGCAUGGUUCAAAAGUGAAAGACGUUCUUUCUGUCACUUAUAGAUGUAUCCGCGCUGCAUUAGCUAGUUGGUAAGGUAACGGCUUACCAAGGCAACGAUGCAUAGCCUACCUGAGAGGGUGAUCGGCCACACUGGAACUGAGACACGGUCCAGACUCCUACGGGAGGCAGCAGUAGGGAAUCUUCCGCAAUGGGCGAAAGCCUGACGGAGCAACGCCGCGUGAGUGAUGAAGGUCUUCGGAUCGUAAAACUCUGUUAUUAGGGAAGAACAUAUGUGUAAGUAACUGUGCACAUCUUGACGGUACCUAAUCAGAAAGCCACGGCUAACUACGUG